rnacentral:rRNA from 1 species
CGUAGGUGGCAAGCGUUGUCCGGAUUUACUGGGCGUAAAGAGCGCGCAGGCGGUCGUACAAGUCGCGUGUGAAAGCCCCCGGCUCAACUGGGGAGGGUCACGCGAUACUGUUCGACUCGAAGGCAGGAGAGGGAAGCAGAAUUCCCGGUGUAGUGGUGAAAUGCGUAGAUAUCGGGAGGAAUACCAGUGGCGAAGGCGGCUUCCUGGCCUGUUCUUGACGCUGAGGCGCGAAAGCUAGGGUAGCAAACGGGAUUAGAUACCCCGGUAGUCCCAGCCGUAAACGAUGGACACUAGGUGUUGGUGGUAUCAACCCCGCCAGUGCCGAAGCUAACGCGUUAAGUGUCCCGCCUGGGGAGUACGGCCGCAAGGCUA